ACGCACGCACACACACACACACACACACACACACACACACACGGCGUGAUGAUAGACCCCACGGAGUUUAGUUCGGACACAGAUUAGAAAGGAGCUGCACUCAUACUCAAAAUAGAUACAUGUUAAUUCUUCGCUGAGAAUAGGGAACUGUGGCUAGUUUUCAGGAGAAAAGUUCGGAAUGGGACCCAGCCGCAAGAACAGAGGCCAGAGACACGCCUACGCCGGCCUCUAGUUACCCGGCUCCAGGUGGAGGGACCGGCCGGCGCACAGACGCAUCAGGCGGCGGGCCGGGGCGGGGCGGGACGCCCGAGGGGCGGGGCCUCGCGGAGCUGGCGCAUGGCCCCAGGACAGAGGCCCGGGCGGGGCGGGGCUUAGGCGUCUCGGGAGGCGGGGCCUUACCGCGCAAGCGCACGGCCCUCGGGCGGGGGCUGCGGACGGGGCGGGGCCUCACCGCGCAGGCGGCCGCGUGUAGCUCCACGAUCCUCCACUCCGCCGCCGUUAACCCUUGUCCGGAGAUGAGGUGGACUCGGGCGGCUGAGAAGACUCCUGCAGGACGCGGUUACCGGAGAUCGUGCCUUCUCCACCCUCAGGACCUCCGCUCCAAGUUUCCCAUUGGCCUUCUGUCAGGACACGUGGACAUUCUUUUUCUCCUGUCAAACGAGCCUCGAGAUCUUUUCAGCAUAAUCGCUACAACUGAUAAAAUGCCAGAAAGUGAUCCGAGUCGCUCAGGUUCGUUUAUAGCCAGUUUGGGCUCAUCCAGGAAAGGCUUGAGUAUUUGCAGGUGCUGUGUGCUGGGAGGGGAGCCCUCCAGCGCCCGGCUCUUUGACCCAGACUAA
rnacentral:lncRNA from 1 species